rnacentral:rRNA from 1 species
CACUGUCAUGCCUUAGUAGCGGCGAGUGAAGCGGCAAAAGCUCAAAUUUGAAAUCUGGCACCUUCGGUGUCCGAGUUGUAAUUUGAAGAUUGUAACCUUGGGGUUGGCUCUUGUCUAUGUUUCUUGGAACAGGACGUCACAGAGGGUGAGAAUCCCGUGCGAUGAGAUGCCCAAUCCUAUGUAAGGUGCUUUCGAAGAGUCGAGUUGUUUGGGAAUGCAGCUCUAAGUGGGUGGUAAAUUCCAUCUAAAGCUAAAUAUUGGCGAGAGACCGAUAGCGAACAAGUACAGUGAUGGAAAGAUGAAAAGAACUUUGAAAAGAGAGUGAAAAAGUACGUGAAAUUGUUGAAAGGGAAGGGUUUGAGAUCAGACUCGAUAUUUUGUGAGCCUUGCCUUCGUGGCGGGGUGACCCGCAGCUUAUCGGGCCAGCAUCGGUUUGGGCGGUAGGAUAAUGGCGUAGGAAUGUGACUUUGCUUCGGUGAAGUGUUAUAGCCUGCGUUGAUGCUGCCUGCCUAGACCGAGGACUGCGAUUUUAUCAAGGAUGCUGGCAUAAUGAUCCCAAACCGCCCGUCUUGAACAACGGGACCAAAAA